AUAAAGUUUUAUUCUAACUUGAAAUUUAAGUAACUAAAUAUUUUACAUGCAAUAUGAAAAUGAUUAAAAUUGAUUUUAAAAGUCUUUUUUUAAAAGCGCAGUAUUUAAUAUUAAAAAUUAAUUAUUUUAGAUUUAGUAAAUUAGUAUAUGUGAGACAAAAAUCGUGCCAGCAGUCGCGGUUAUACAAUUUCACAAUCUUAAAUAUAUUGGUAUUCAGUUAUGUAAAAUAAAAUUUCUAUAUUAAAUAAUUCUGGUGAAAUAUAAUUAUUUAUAUUAUUUAUUUAUAUGUCUGAGAAACUUGGAAAAUAAACUAGGAUUAGAUACCCUAUUAUUCUUGAGUGUAAAACUAUUAACCUGAUUAAUAAUAGAUAAGAUCUUUAAAUUUAAAGAAUUUGGCGGUAAUUUAUCUUAUCAGAGGAACCUGUCUUAUUAACCGAUAAUCCACGAUAGAUUUAACUUUAUUUUAUACUUGUAUACCUCUGUCAAGAAUGUUCUAUAAGGAUAUUUUCAUUAAUUAUAUAUAUAUAAUGUCAGGUCAAGGUGCAGUUUAUAAUUAAGUUAAUAUGGGUUACAAUUAAUAUUAAAUUGAAUAAUUUUCUCAUUUGAAAAUUUAAAAUUGGAUUUGAAAGUAAAAUCAAAAAAUUAUUUAUAUUGAAUUAGUAUCUAAAUUAUGCACACAUCGCCCGUCACUCUCAUUCUAAAAUGAGAUAAGUCGUAACAAAGUAGCUGUACCGGAAGGUGUAGCUAGAACU
rnacentral:ncRNA from 1 species